rnacentral:rRNA from 1 species
AUGGCAAUUGUCCAUACAUACGGGAAGCUUGACAUCUUCUUGACCAUGACUUGCAAUCCUAAAUGGGAAGAGAUAUCGAAUGAGUUGUUGCCUGGUCAGACGGCGCAAGACCGACCUGAUAUUGUGGCUCGCGUGUUCUACGGCAAACUAGAGGCUAUGAAAGACAUUUUGUUCAAGAAGCAUAUUCUGGGUGUUGUUGUUGCUUAUGUUUACGUAGUCGAGUUCCAAAAAAGGGGCCUUCCCAAUGCACAUUUUUUGUUGAUCAUGGACUCAGCAUAUAAGCUUAUCAUCCCGGAGCAAUAUGACCGACUCAUUUCCGCUGAGCUCCCAGACAAGCAUAAGUAUCCGGAAUUGUAUGCAAUGGUGGUAAAACAUAUGAUGCACCCAAAAAAUGUAUGCAUGCAAGAAAACGGAUGCAAGUGCAGAUACCCGCGGCCGUUCAAUGAAAACACAUCACAAGGGAAGGACUCCUACCCAAUUUAUCGGCGGAGAGACGAUGGUAGACGUUCUAAGGUCUGA